rnacentral:rRNA from 1 species
AUGAUAUGCUUCUUCGCAGUCGAGUGGCACUUUGUAGACCGUGUGGCAAGACAAUUUGGAAAAAGACAAGGUAUUCCAAUUGAGGAGAGCAAGGAGGAAAUGCUAUCUCUGCAUCGGUUCGAUCGAAGGAACAAUCAGGAUAUAUCGGAUUGGGCAAACAAACACCGUGUGUGGAUAGAAAUUUGGAAUCAAAGAGACAGGUUAGUGCAAUCAGAGAAUAGACCUCACAAUCAGUCAGCAUAUCAGAAGUAUCAAGUGUGGUAUGCGGAUCGUUAUCGGUUAAAGCUGAAGCCAGGUUGGACUCACGAGGAGUGGUCGGAGUUGGUGUCUGAAGACCCGGAGACUGCAGAAGGUUAUCAUACCUUCAACACGGCUGUGAGAGACACCAGAGGGGCUCAUGUUGACUACGCACCGAUGCAUGACGAAAUGGUAGUCUGUUUGACCUAUUCUAACAUACUUGCAUCAUGUUGUCUUCUUUCAAAUACAUAA